rnacentral:rRNA from 1 species
GUCGUAACAAGGUCUCCGUAGGUGAACCUGCGGAGGGAUCAUUACACAAAUAUGAAGGCGGGCUGGAACCUCUCGGGGUUACAGCCUUGCUGAAUUAUUCACCCUUGUCUUUUGCGUACUUCUUGUUUCCUUGGUGGGUUCGCCCACCACUAGGACAAACAUAAACCUUUUGUAAUUGCAAUCAGCGUCAGUAACAAAUUAAUAAUUACAACUUUCAACAACGGAUCUCUUGGUUCUGGCAUCGAUGAAGAACGCAGCGAAAUGCGAUAAGUAGUGUGAAUUGCAGAAUUCAGUGAAUCAUCGAAUCUUUGAACGCACAUUGCGCCCUUUGGUAUUCCAAAGGGCAUGCCUGUUCGAGCGUCAUUUGUACCCUCAAGCUUUGCUUGGUGUUGGGCGUCUUGUCUCUAGCUUUGCUGGAGACUCGCCUUAAAGUAAUCGGCAGCCGGCCUACUGGUUUCGGAGCGCAGCACAAGUCGCACUCUCUAUCAGCAAAGGUCUA